CCGACGGUGAGAGACGAAAGCUGGGGGAGCAAACCGGAUUAGAUACCCGGGUAGUCCCAGCUGUAAACGAUGCGCGUUAGGUGUAUCAGUGACCACGAGUCACUGAGGUGCCGAAGAGAAAUCGUGAAACGUGCCGCCUGGGAAGUACGGUCGCAAGGCUGAAACUUAAAGGAAUUGGCGGGGGAGCACCACAACAGGUGGAGCCUGCGGUUUAAUCGGACUCAACGCCGGAAAUCUCACCAGAUAAGACAGCUGAAUGAUAGUCGGGCUGAAGACUCUACUUGACUAGCUGAGAGGAGGUGCAUGGCCGUCGUCAGUUCGUACUGUGAAGCAUCCUGUUAAGUCAGGCAACGAGCGAGACCCACGCCAACAGUUGCU
rnacentral:rRNA from 1 species